rnacentral:rRNA from 1 species
AUUGAACGCUGGCGGCAUGCCUUACACAUGCAAGUCGAACGGUAACAGGUCUUCGGAUGCUGACGAGUGGCGAACGGGUGAGUAAUACAUCGGAACGUGCCCGAUCGUGGGAGAUAACGAGGCGAAAGCUUUGCUAAUACCGCAUACGAUCUACGGAUGAAAGCGGGGGAUCUUCGGACCUCGCGCGGACGGAGCGGCCGAUGGCAGAUUAGGUAGUUGGUGGGAUAAAAGCUUACCAAGCCGACGAUCUGUAGCUGGUCUGAGAGGAUGAUCAGCCACACUGGGACUGAGACACGGCCCAGACUCCUACGGGAGGUAGCAGUGGGGAAUUUUGGACAAUGGGCGAAAGCCUGAUCCAGCCAUGCCGCGUGCAGGAUGAAGGCCUUUGGGUUGUAAACUGCUUUUGUACGGAACGAAAAGCCUCUUUCUAAUAAAGAGGGGUCAUGACGGUACCGUAAGAAUAAGCACCGGCUAACUACGUG